CGAGACAGUGCUGAAUAUUGAGUAAAUCUUUGAGAUUCUUACGCAAUAUAUAAAUUGAUAUUAUGCAUUACGGGCAUUUAAUUAAGUGCCGAUAUUAUUUUGACGGUAUAUUCAUUAUACAGAGUUGGAAGCAUUUCAGACGUAAAUAUUGAGAAAAUCUUCGAGGUUCUACGCAAAUAUAUAAUUUGACAUUGUGCAUUAAUACGGGCAUUCAAUAAGUGCCGAUAUUAUUUAGACCGUAUCAUUAUAUACAGCGACUGUAUAAGGUGCUACAUCACAGAAUAUUAAUUGUUCUUGUAAAGUG